CAGUAGCCGCGGUAAUACGAGGGGGGCAAGCGUUGUUCGGAAUUAUUGGGCGUAAAGGGCGCGUAGGCGGUUUGGCAAGUUUCGUGUGAAAUCUUCGGGCUCAACUCGAAGUCUGCACGGAAAACUGCCGGGCUUGAGUAUGGGAGAGGUGAGUGGAAUUUCCGGUGUAGCGGUGAAAUGCGUAGAUAUCGGAAGGAACACCUGUGGCGAAAGCGGCUCACUGGACAAUAACUGACGCUGAUGCACGAAAGCUAGGGGAGCAAACAGGAUUAGAGACCCCCGUAGUCCCUGUCUCUUAUAC
rnacentral:rRNA from 1 species